rnacentral:lncRNA from 1 species
GACGCGACAGGAUCUCGAGGUGGAUUAAGUUUGGCUUGGCGUUGAGAUAUCAAUAUUAGGCUUCAAAGCUAUUCAAAAAGUCAUAUUGAUGUGCAAAUUGAGGAUGCAGAGGAGGAAAAAAAUUGGAGAUUGACUGGUUUUUAUGGCUCUCCUUAUUCAAAUAAAGAAGAAUCAUGGAAUUUGUUGAGACAUUUGCGUAAUGGAGGGGAAUUGCCUUGGAUGGUGUGUGGUGAUUUUAACGAAAUUUUGUAUAGCUUUGAAAAACGGGGAGGUUUACUUCGAGAGGAGGGGAGAAUGGAAGCAUUUAAAACGGUUUUAGAGAAUUGUGAUCUAAGGGAUUUGGGUUUCUCUGGUAGAUGGUUCACUUGGGAAAGAGGAAAUCUAC